rnacentral:rRNA from 1 species
GAUGAACGCUAGCGGCAGGCCUAAUACAUGCAAGCCGAACGGCAAGUUUGAUAGCAAUAUUGGACCUAGAGUGGCGCAAGGGUGCGUAACACGUAUGCAACCUGCCCGCGACAGGAGGAUAGCUCCCCGAAAGGGGAAUUAACCCUCCAUAACACCAUGAGAAGGCAUCUGAUUAUGGUUAAACCGCAAGGGGUCGCGGAUGGGCAUGCGGUUGAUUAGCUAGUUGGCGGGGUAAAGGCCCACCAAGGCGGUGAUCAAUAGGGGUUCUGAGAGGAAGGUCCUCGGCACUGACACGGCGAUACGGGCCAGAAUACUACGGCAGGCAGCAGUAGGGAAUAUUGGAUUAAGGUUGCAAGACUGAACCAGCCACGCCGCGUGCAGGAAGAAGGCCUUCUGGGUCGUAAACUGCAUUUUCCUGUGGAUAAAAUACACGAGGGCGGAGAAUUGAAGGUAACAGGGUAAUAAGCCACGGCUAACUACGUG